rnacentral:lncRNA from 1 species
CGAUAUCUGCCACGAAGCUGUUGUUCCACACCAGAACCAAAUGAACGCAAGAUCUGACAAAGAAAAAAAGAGUCCCUGUAUCCUGAGAUGGAGUCACCUGAGAAUCCACAGCAAGUCCUAACCAGGGAUGGGUCUGGGUGAUUAAGGAAGGUUGGCUUCAGAACUGGGCCAGGGGCACUGCUUUGCUUUUGCUGUUUUGAUCAGCUCUCUGCCUGCAGGAGACAAGGAAAACCAAUGGGAACAGCUGGGGAAACUGAAUUACAGAGCUUUUCUGCACUGAAUCAUCAGGAGCAAAUGCUAGAUCAGAUAGGGUCUCUCUCUCUGCCACUCAGGCCACAGUGCAGUUGACGCAGGGCAGGGGAGCCCCGAAGUGGAGCAUAGUGUGUCCAGAACUGGUGGGUUCUUGGUCUCACUGACUUCAAGAAUGAAGCCACAGACCCUCGGGAAACUCCUGGAGGGCAGAGGCAUGCCUGCCAUCUUCAUCAAUGCAUUACCACCACCCAACACUAUCGGGGGACCUGCCCUGAUAAUCAG